rnacentral:snoRNA from 1 species
CUGUUACUGAUGAAAAACUUACUCAGCUCACUCUGAGCAUUAUGCUAUGCUGAUAACAUUCCUAUAACAAUCAUCAAAAUUUCUGACAAACAG